rnacentral:rRNA from 1 species
CCCUUAGAUGCCCUGGGCCGCACGCGCGCUACACUGAUGCAUUCAACGAGUUUUACCUUGGCCGAGAGGCCUGGGCAAUCUUUUAAACCUGCAUCGUGAUAGGGAUAGAUUAUUGCAAUUAUUAAUCUUGAACGAGGAAUUCCUAGUAAACGCAAAUCAUCAAUUUGCAUUGAUUACGUCCCUGCCCUUUGUGCGCACCGCCCGUCGCACCUACCGAUUGAAUGGUCCGGUGAAGCCUCGGGAUUGUGGCCAGUUCACUUUAUUGGGAGUUGGCUGUGAGAACUUGUCUAAACCUUAUCAUUUAGAGGAAGGUGAAGUCGUAACA